rnacentral:rRNA from 1 species
GACGAACGCUGGCGGCGUGCUUAACACAUGCAAGUCGAGCGGUAAGGCCCUUUCGGGGGUACACGAGCGGCGAACGGGUGAGUAACACGUGGGCGACCUACCCUCAGCUUCGGGAUAAGCCUGGGAAACUGGGUCUAAUACCGGAUAUGACCUUCCCUCGCAUGGGGGUUGGUGGAAAGUUUUUUCGGCUGGGGAUGGGCCCGCGGCCUAUCAGCUUGUUGGUGGGGUGAUGGCCUACCAAGGCGACGACGGGAGCCGGCCUGAGAGGCGACCGGCCACACUGGGACUGAGAUACGGCCCAGACUCCUACGGGAGGCAGCAGUGGGGAAUAUUGCGCAAUGGGCGGAAGCCUGACGCAGCGACGCCGCGUGGGGGAUGACGGCC